GCUCAGCCUCUGAGUCGGCUGAGGUGCUGUGGGAGCRACUGGUUGCUUUGUGCUUGUUUCGCAGACGAGAUCCCAGUUGUGCAGCUGAGCUUUGAGCAGAUAGCCACGGACACCGGCUUCCUGCAAGAAGCAGUGCAGCGGUGCAUAGAGGAGACCCUGCUCUUCUUUGCUGGAGCCCUGGCAGAAGGCAAGGAGGUCGAAUUUGUCUUCAAGGAUGUUGGCGUUCUUGCCGUACGAAGACAAGUGGUCAGCAUGAGCUUUUUUGAUCACUGCCUGGUGGAGAUGGAUGCCACAGGCAACGUGUUGCCAGCUCUUCUCACGGUGAGUUUGUCAUUUCUCCGGUGAGCUACAAGGAGCUCUUUGGAAAUCCUGUCAAAGCUCCUGCAAGCUGUUUGCUCCUGGCAUGCCGUCACCUGCCUCACCACUUGGGCUGGCCACGCUCUCCAUGAGCAACACCAGCUCUCGGUAGCAUGUCGGCUCGUUUGAAUGAGGGCCAAGCGGUACUGAAGAGAAGGUGGUGCGAGGCUUUCUGAGAGGCAGCUCCUUCACUGAGCAGCAGGAAGGUUUGCUGCCCCUGUGAGCAACAAGCACGUGUCCUUAAGGUCACCUCCCAUGUCUCUGUCCCGUUGUAGGAGUCCAAGAUGACGGAUGUUGUCACCUUUGACACCAGAAACGACUUUCCUCGGGUCAGUCGUGAUGGUGUCAUCGUGCUGCCAAGGUUUGCACUUGAGAUCGCGGGCAAAGCAUCUGUCCAUGCACGUUCUCUCAAGCCCAGGGAAGACCUGGUGCCUGGCGAGCAGCAUACCAGAAAAGGUAAUGUCACAGCCCACUGCUGGCAGGGGUUGUGCCUUCUCCUUUUGUCCUUGUGAGGGGUGGAGAGCCCACAACACGAUGCAUGGGACAGGAGCAGGUGUUUGUGUGACUCUGCGUCCGCGGCCUGGUAAAUCUCAAGAGACUCUUCCCAGCACAUGCUCUGGGCACAGCCCAGCACUCCAAAUGCGAGCUGAUGCUCUGAGUUGCACUUGCGCUGGGGACUCCCUUCCCUCAC
rnacentral:lncRNA from 1 species